AGUAUAAAGGAGUAGGUCCGGUAAGGACCGAUUUUGGCCUCAAAUUUCAGGUUCAUCUGACGAAAGAUUUUGACCACUUUUUAAACAGUAAUGUGUCUAUUUUAUUUGAAUCAAUUAGUUUAUGUGAAAGAUUUUAACUGAUUUAGUCAUUAAAAACGAUCCGAUUCAAGCUCAAAUAUGAAAAAUCUACCUAAUAUGCCGAAAAAUGUCACUUUUCAGAUGGUUUUUGGUAAAAAAUGAAAGUGGCCGCAUCCGUGUUAAUCCUCAACCUUUAUAUAUGUUAUGUAUUAUCAUAAAAUACAACUUAAAUUUCAAUAUUAAGGAUGAACACGAAUGCGGCCACUUUCGUUUUACACGAAAACCGUCUAAAAUUUAACUAAAAUGCUAGAAUUAUGAGGAUUUCAGUAAUUUAGCAUGACUUAGUGGUGCUAGUACCGGAUAUAUGUGCAUUGUAUUGUCAAAAACAGCCUAUAUUUAUGUAGCAGAAGCAUUCUACUGUCCAAUAAAUAACUAAA
rnacentral:lncRNA from 1 species